rnacentral:rRNA from 1 species
GACGAACGCUGGCGGCGUGCUUAACACAUGCAAGNCGAACGGUAAGGCUCUUCGGAGUACACGAGUGGCGAACGGGUGCGUAACACGUGACCAACCUACCCUUAACAUCGGGAUAACAUUUGGAAACAGAUGCUAAUACCGGAUACGAACUUGGAAGGCAUCUUCUGAGUUGGAAAGCUCCGGCGGUUAGGGAUGGGGUCGCGGCCUAUCAGCUUGUUGGUGAGGUAAUGGCUCACCAAGGCGACGACGGGUAGCCGGCCUGAGAGGGCGACCGGCCACACUGGGACUGAGAUACGGCCCAGACUCCUACGGGAGGCAGCAGUGGGGAAUAUUGCACAAUGGGCGCAAGCCUAAUGCAGCAACGCCGCGUGCGGGAUGACGGCCUUCGGGUUGUAAACCGCUUUCAGCAGGGACGAAGUGAAAAUGACGGUACCUGCAAAAGAAGCAUCGGCCAACUACGUGCCAGCAGCCGCGGUGAUACGUAGGAUGCGAGCGUUGUCCGGAAUUAUUGGGCGUAAAGAGCUUGUAGGCGGUCUGUCACGUCGAAAGUGAAAACUCAGGGCUCAACCCUGAGCCUGCUUUCGAUACGGGCAGACUAGAGGAAGGUAGGGGAGAAUGGAAUUCCCGGUGGAGCGGUGGAAUGCGCAGAUAUCGGGAGGAACACCAAUGGCGAA